AACGAACGCUGGCGGCAUGCCUAACACAUGCAAGUCGAACGAUGCCUUCGGGCAUAGUGGCGCACGGGUGCGUAACACGUGGGAAUCUGCCCUUCGGUUCGGAAUAACUCAGGGAAACUUGAGCUAAUACCGGAUAAUGACGUAAGUCCAAAGAUUUAUCGCCGAAGGAUGAGCCCGCGUAAGAUUAGGUAGUUGGUGGGGUAAUGGCCUACCAAGCCGACGAUCUUUAGCUGGUCUGAGAGGAUGAUCAGCCACACUGGGACUGAGACACGGCCCAGACUCCUACGGGAGGCAGCAGUGGGGAAUAUUGGACAAUGGGCGAAAGCCUGAUCCAGCAAUGCCGCGUGAGUGAUGAAGGCCUUAGGGUUGUAAAGCUCUUUUACCCGGGAUGAUAAUGACAGUACCGGGAGAAUAAGCUCCGGCUAACUCCGUGCCAGCAGCCGCAGUAACAC
rnacentral:rRNA from 1 species